rnacentral:rRNA from 1 species
GCGGUAAUACGUAGGUGGCAAGCGUUGUCCGGAAUUAUUGGGCGUAAAGGGCUCGCAGGCGGUUUCUUAAGUCUGAUGUGAAAGCCCCCGGCUCAACCGGGGAGGGUCAUUGGAAACUGGGGAACUUGAGUGCAGAAGAGGAGAGUGGAAUUCCACGYGUAGCGGUGAAAUGCGUAGAGAUGUGGAGGAACACCAGUGGCGAAGGCGACUCUCUGGUCUGUAACUGACGCUGAGGAGCGAAAGCGUGGGGAGCGAACAGGAUUAGAUACCCUGGUAGUCCACGCCGUAAACGAUGAGUGCUAAGUGUUAGGGGGUUUCCGCCCCUUAGUGCUGCAGCUAACGCAUUAAGCACUCCGCCUGGGGAGUACGGUCGCAAGACUGAAACUCAAAGGAAUUGACGGGGGCCCGCACAAGCGGUGGAGCAUGUGGUUUAAUUCGAAGCAACGCGAAGAACCUUACCAGGUCUUGACAUCCUCUGACAAUCCUAGAGAUAGGACGUCCCCUUCGGGGGCAGAGUGACAGGUGGUGCAUGGUUGUCGUCAGCUCGUGUCGUGAGAUGUUGGGUUAAGUCCCGCAACGAGCGCAACCCUUGAUCUUAGUUGCCAGCAUUCAGUUGGGCACUCUAAGGUGACUGCCGGUGACAAACCGGAGGAAGGUGGGGAUGACGUCAAAUCAUCAUGCCCCUUAUGACCUGGGCUACACACGUGCUACAAUGGACAGAACAAAGGGCAGCGAAACCGCGAGGUUAAGCCAAUCCCACAAAUCUGUUCUCAGUUCGGAUCGCAGUCUGCAACUCGACUGCGUGAAGCUGGAAUCGCUAGUAUCGCU